UUCAGUUUAUCGAUUUGUCAGUUCGAUGGUGUUGAGUUCUGUCGUUGGAUUCUAGGCUCGGUGUCGUUCAUUUAAUCGUAUUGAAUGGGAUUUUUUUAUGAAAUAAAAGUUUUUUGUGGUGUGUGAUUAAAGUCGGUCUAAAAUGACAAAAGAUAGAUUGGCAGCUUUGGUUGCGGCCCAAAGUGACGAUGACGAUGUUGGUCCAGAUGAUGUUGCCGUCAAUGUCGAGGGCAGGGAUGGAUUUAUGGAUGCGUUUUUUGCAGAGGUGGAGGAGAUACGGGACAUGAUAGACAAAAUACAGGCCAACGUAGAGGAAGUAAAGAAAAAACACAGUUCAAUACUAGCGGCACCCCAGAUCGAUGAAAAAACGAAACAAGAACAGGAAGACCUUAUGGCCGAAAUAAAGAAAACUGCCAACAAAGUCCGCUUGAAACUAAAGAACAUCGAACACAGUAUAGAACAAGAGGAACAAACUAACAAAUCGUCGGCCGACCUGAGGAUAAGAAAAACCCAGCAUUCAACACUAUCCAGGAAGUUCGUGGAGGUCAUGACGGAGUACAACAGGACCCAGACCGAUUACAGGGAACGGUGUAAGGCCAGGAUACAGAGGCAGUUAGAAAUCACCGGCAGACAAACAACAAAUGAAGAGCUUGAGGAAAUGUUAGAACAGGGCAACCCCGCUGUAUUUACUCAAGGUAUUAUAAUGGAGACCCAGCAGGCGAAACAAACGCUGGCCGACAUAGAAGCCAGACACGCUGACAUCAUCAAAUUAGAAAACUCCAUCAGGGAGCUCCAUGACAUGUUCAUGGACAUGGCGAUGUUGGUGGAGAAUCAGGGUGAGAUGAUAGACCGUAUCGAAUAUCACGUCGAACACGCGGUCGACUACGUACAAACCGCCACCCAAGACACCAAGAAAGCAUUAAAAUACCAAAGUAAAGCCAGGCGGAAGAAAAUCAUAAUGCUAGUCUGCGCAUCAGUGGUAAUAUUUAUCCUUGCUAGUGCAAUUUAUGCAAGGCUAAAAGGAGGUUAAAUUCCAUUGAUAUCGUGAGUAAAGAAAAAGCAAACAGUUUAUCUUGAAACCGACAAUUCUAAACUACACAAAAAAAUCAACACAAGCAAUACAAACAUUACACUAGUUACACAUUAUCACAUCAAGAUAAAUUUUUUGCUUGAGAAAAUUUGAAAAUUUAGUAUUUAAUACUGCUGAUUUAUUUGUAUUAUAUAAAUAGAGCAAUUUUUCUUAUAUGCUCCCAUACCAAAAAGGAAAUUUUUGCUUGCUUGCCAAAUCUGUAAAUGAUAUUUCAAAGAGCCUGGACAAUAUUCACUAUAAGGGACAAUAUUCCAAAAAUUUAAAAAUAUAUUUCUGAAAAUUAAAUAAUAACUGUUAAUGAUUAGUUGUUUUGUUUCCCAAACCACCAGAGAUAGUGCCAAAAAUUACACUUAAAAUAAUAUAAAUACACACAAGAUUUUUUAAUAUUAUUUCUCUUUUUUUAAUUCUAUUUAGGUGAAGUUAAGUUCUGGGUUUGAUUUGGAAAUUGUAUAAAUUUUCUGAUGAUAGUCAUAAAUUCUUCGAACGAAGCGGCUUUCAUUGAUCUCAGUAAAUUGCAAUCAUGUAAAACAAAUUGUAAUGAAUUUAAAAAUAUAAGUAGAAAAAUAUAUUAUCAAAUUUUCAGAUGAAGCUUUUGGUAAGUUGCCACUCUGCAGAAUGUAUAUAAAAUAUACGCAAAAAUUACCAAAAGUUCAUACAAGAGUAGGAAAAAUUGUUUGAAAUCAAAUUUAUAUAGAUGUGUAUUGGAUUCUUCUCAUAUGUAAAGAUGUACAAUUUUUUUUUUAUUAUUGUAUCUAUUACAACAGUUAUCCAGAGAUUAUUUGAUGCAAUGAUGCUUAAUAUUAAUAUUAUUUGUGCCUAACAGUUUCCUUUCGAUAAGCUUCAAAAAUAUGAGUCUUCAAUGCAUCAUUUAAAAUAUAUUAGAUUGUACUGAUUAUGUUAUUGAAUAUUUGGUCACUUUGGUUCAGUAUUAUAGGUUUCUUCUUGAAAUAGUGUUUGAUUGAAUUUCAUUGGAUUAGUCAACAUACAAAUGAAGAAAAUUAUGAUCCUUGUUUGUUUAACAAUUUUGGGAUUGAUUAUCACCUGUACUAUUGGAGGAUACCUUGGAAUUAUAUAAGCUGGUACUUCGCUGAAGGAUUGCUGUUGUUUGGUCGAAUAAGGGCCUAGUAACGAAAAAUUGCUUCUUGUCAAUUGCGAAAUUGGCAUUGUUUAAUUGUUGGGGUCAUAAUCGAAGUUCAAUCAUUAUUUAAAGAAAGAAUCAAUUCAAACAUAGUUGAUUGUAUGCAGAUCUUGUAGUUCUAUGUAGGUUAGGUUAACUAAUAUAAAAGAAAAUAUUUAAGAACAAACGUUUACUAUAGCAAUAAAUGUUGAUUUGAAAAAUGUGUGAUAUUAAAAAUUUAAAUCAUUUACUUCUUAUUCAUGAUAUAUUUUCGCUGAAAGCAUUUAAUACUGUACAGAAAGAAGUAAGAUCCUCAUUUCCGAGAUUGAUUUCAUAAAAACGUAUGCCAAAUAUCGAUUCUGCAAAUGUUCAGCACAUUCGACUAAUUUCUGGAUAUUCAGCAUUGAUCUAAAAACGAAAAAAAAAUACGAGUUUAAUGAAAUUGGGAGAAUAAUGAUUAUGUAUUCGAAGUUUCGGUAACUGCAGUAAGAAGUGAAAAACGUGGAUAAUUUCAACAUAUCGAAUUGACAACACACUGCCUUCACAUUAUCUCGUAUGAACACUGUAAAUACAGGAAAAAAUGUAUUAAUAUUCUAGUUUGUAAUUAUUCAUUAUUAGAUUUUAGCUCAAUGCUGUAAUAUUCUCAUUGUUAGUUACGCAAAAAUUUUCCAGUACAAUCAGCAGAUUGUAUGGCCUAACUCUUUGAACGGCAGUACCUGUUUGAAAAAUACAUUUUCGAAAAAAUUAGCUAGGUGGAUUUUUUCUUGAUGUAUGAUUUUGGGUACUCCUUUGUGCAAAAAGGCUCUAAAAGGCUAUAUUGCACUUCGGCCUGUGGUGUACAAUGUACAGAAGUGUUCAUAUAGCAUUAUUUAAUAAAUUCAAUAUCAAGGAAGACAAGAAUAGUUCAUUCAAACACAUCGGCUGUUCUUACUGAAUUCGUAUUAUUCAGCCUGUACAUUCUUCGUACAAUAAAGGUAUGCUAAUAAUUGAGGACUGUAGGAAAAAAGGUUCAUGAAAAUUUUCUGAUUCACUCGUCAACAUAUCAUUAUUACUAAAUUGUAGACUCACAUAUCGUGUAAAAAAAUAGUAAAAACACCCCAUGUACACCCUAAAAAACACAUGUCGUCUUCCUCUAAAACAAAACCCUUCAAGCAACCUUUCAACCACCCUGUAGUUAAUCCCCGUGUUUAUAUUGAUUUGGAUAUUACGUAGGCUUUCGAUUGAUCUCUAAGUAUUAAAUGAAGAGUCUUUAACGUCAUUAUAUUUGUAUACUUAUUAGACAAUUUUAUACUGAACCUGGGUAUUUAGAAAUCCAUAGACAGUCAUUGGUUUAGAAUUCAAAUUUGAAGAAGAAAAUAGUUCUAUAAUGUUAGCUCCAAUGGAAAUGGGCCAAAAUCACAUCUAGUUUGCAAUAGUCGAAAAUUAAUCCCACUCUUUGGUGUGAAAUAUAUUUCAUUGAAUUUCAUGAUUUGAUGAGUAUAAUGUGAUAAUAUUCCUAAUGUGUUGAAUUAUUUCCUGAUCUUUUUUUCGAAAAUCUAAACUUUUAUCUCCUAAGUAGAAAAAUACUACAAAAUAAUCAAAUGAAACCGUAGAAAUUAUUCUAUUUGACAUUAUACCGAAAAAAUCAAAACAAUCCAUCAUAUAAUGGGCCAAAAUCACAAGAAAAUCACAUCUAGUUUGUGGUAGUUGAAGAUUAACCCAAAAAAAAACUGUAUGAAAUAUAUUUCAUUGAAGUUCGUGAUCAGUAUAAUGUGAUAAUAUUUGUAAUAAAUACUUGAGUGUUUUGUAGAUUAA